UACGUAGGGGGCAAGCGUUAUCCGGAUUUACUGGGUGUAAAGGGAGCGUAGACGGCGCUGCAAGUCCGGAGUGAAAGCCCAUGGCUUAACCAUGGUACUGCUCUGGAGACUGUGGAGCUUGAGUGCGGGAGGGGCAGGCGGAAUUCCUAGUGUAGCGGUGAAAUGCGUAGAUAUUAGGAGGAACACCGGCGGCGAAGGCGGCCUGCUGGACCGUAACUGACGUUGAGGCUCGAAAGCGUGGGGAGCAAACAGG
rnacentral:rRNA from 1 species